rnacentral:tRNA from 1 species
UUCUGUGGCUUAGUUUGUUAAAGCACCGGUCUAGCGGAUUCGGGGUCGUGGGUUCAAAUCCCACAAGAA